ensembl:snoRNA
CAGCAUGUUUUCAAGGGCUGUGGCUGAUGGUGGCCAUGGGAUCUCCAACUGCACGUUAGAACAGGUUGGAGAGACUUUGACUUUGACUAUCUGUAGUUGCCACUCACCCUUCCUAUAAUA